GUCCUUGUAGCGCGAUGGACAGCUCGUUGGACUUCUAAUCCAAAGGUCAUGGGUUCGAAUCCCACCUGGGAUG